UAAAGGAUGGGUGAGCAGGGAAGAGUCACACAUGAUUACAGUUCAUUUAUAUACUCCCUGCAGGGGGAAGAGCAAGAACUUCUCCCAUUUCACUGGGGGGAAGACUGAGGAAACAAAAGGUGUCAGGCAAGUGGCAGAAGACGGACUGACCUGUAGGGAUUGAGAGUGCAGACUGUGACAGCAGGGAAGACGAGCUUGUCAGAGUUGAGGUUGAUGUUGAGGCUGACAGGGUAGCUGAAGUACUCUUCAAACAUCAGGGCAAACUGCCAGUACAUCAUGCCAAACGUGCAGAGCCAGAGCACGGCCCAGAAGGCCGUCUUCAUGCGGUUGUGCUUGGAGCACACCAGGCGGAUGGCACCGUGGAUGGUGGUAUUGUUGCAGAAGAACUGGAAGAGCUCUCGGUAGGAACGGUGGAACUCGAUCAGAGCCUCCUCCUCCUCUGUGGGCUGCUGGGGGACUUCAGGUUCGGGGCCCAGCCCCUGCUCCUCACGCUUGUCCCCCUUCAUGAGCCCUUGGAUGGGUGGGGGAGGGCAAGGGUCUUGCUCCUUGAGCUUGUCCCCCUUCAUUGAGCCCUUAGGUAGGUUGGGGAGGUGAUGGUCAGGGUCAGGCUGAGCUCAGGGCUUUGGGAGCCCUCCCUCAUCAACAACUUGGGCCCAGAGUGAGGCUGGCUUGGGCCAUGCCCACAUCACACCCUGAGUCCACUUUCCCCCCUCUCCUCCCUCCCGCCCUCCUCCACCUCUCCAGGAGCCAGCUGACCUGCUGGAGUCCGGGCCAAGGAGCUGGCUCUGGGCUUCCCUGGAGUGGCCUCUCUGCUUCCCAGAUAAGGCCACUUUUGCUUUCCGCGCUAACACCUUCCUUUCUUUCUCCACAGCAGGAGGCCUCUGCCUGCUGGUCAGUCGGCCACUGGCCCUCUUCCUUCAGGACUGUGGCUUGGCUUCUGCCUCUCACCCCUUCUGCCUGCCUUCAGCUUCUCUUCGGGUCUCUCUCUCUCAGUUCUCCUCUUCCUUGCCAGUCUCCUCUCCCUGUGCCAGGCUCUCUGAUCCUGCCUCUCUUCCUCUUCCUCCUCAGCCUUUCCCUUUCUCCUCCUGGGCCCUCUCCUCCUGCUCUGUCCUGACUCCCUCUCUGCCCUGGGACUGCAGGGCUCCAGGAGGUCUGAGCUGCCUCCUUCUCCCUACUCCCAGGUGUGGCUGGGCUAGGACUGGUUCCUUUCCAGUUGAAUCUGGCAGCCAAGCCUCUCCUCCCCCUCACCUGACAGGUGCAGCGGCCUGGCCUGGGAGCCCGCCUGCCUGCCUGUUGGCCAGGGAUGGAAGGGACAGAAGCCUCAUUAGCAUCUCAAUUAAAGAUGGUGUCUGAAAUCCAGCCAUUAAUGACAAACAGUCUUCAUCUCAAAGGCUGAGAACUGCAAGGUCUGAUCUGGAGAGUGUGGUGAUCCUGGCACGUCCUGCCAAGGUACAGGAGCAGCUUAGAGCCCACAGCAUUAUAGAUCCGGAAUGGGCCAGAGCAAGCUUGUUGUGAGAAAAAUAGAAAGCUGAGACCUGUGCUUUUGUCAGGGCUCCAUUUGAAAUAAUAUCUUUUAAAAGUGUAAAAAUAAUACACAAAUAUAUUUUGUCACAAUCGUUUCCCAGCAAUACACAAGUAAAAGGAAUAAUAACUGUU